UACAGAGGGGGCAAGCGUUGUUCGGAAUUACUGGGCGUAAAGGGCGCGUAGGCGGCCUGUUAAGUCGAACGUGAAAUCCCCAGGCUCAACCUGGGAACUGCGUCCGAUACUGGCAGGCUUGAAUCCGGGAGAGGGAUGUGGAAUUCCAGGUGUAGCGGUGAAAUGCGUAGAUAUCUGGAGGAACACCGGUGGCGAAGGCGGCAUCCUGGACCGGUAUUGACGCUGAGGAGCGAAAGCCAGGGGAGCAAACGGG
rnacentral:rRNA from 1 species